rnacentral:rRNA from 1 species
UACGUAGGGUGCAGGCGUUAAUCGGAAUUACUGGGCGUAAAGCGUGCGCAGGCGGCUUUGCAAGACAGAUGUGAAAUCCCCGGGCUUAACCUGGGAACUGCAUUUGUGACUGGCAAGCUAGAGUAUGGCAGAGGGGGGUAGAAUUCCACGUGUAGCAGUGAAAUGCGUAGAGAUGUGGAGGAAUACCGAUGGCGAAGGCAGCCCCCUGGGCCAAUACUGACGCUCAUGCACGAAAGCGUGGGGAGCAAACAGG